UCUGACCUCAAAUCAGGUAGGAUUACCCGCUGAACUUAAGCAUAUCAAUAAGCGGAGGAAAAGAAACUAACAAGGAUUCCCUUAGUAACUGCGAGUGAAGUGGGAAAAGCUCAAAUUUAAAAUCUGGCAGUCUGAAUUUACUUCUUUGGCUGUCCGAG
rnacentral:rRNA from 1 species